CCCGCCGCCAGGUGCCGCUGCGCGCCGGGGCUGCGGCGCCGUCUCAGAGCGUGGGGGCCGGCGCUGUGAGCGGAGCGGAGCGGAGCGGAGCGGUGGCGGCGGGCCACCGGAAGCCGGAGCGGGGCCGGCUCCCGGGGAUUCGAGUAAGUGCCAGUAGUUGUAUGACAUUGACACAGUUCCCAGCAAAGGAUUUAUUGGCAAAAGACCCUUUAAGAAGGCAAAAGUCGUUAUCUGUGUUUUAUGGAUAAGAGCUAUCAUCUACAAAUGCAGGAGGCCCAGAUUCCUUCAAAUCAGGGUAUCAGGAUGGAAAAAACAUUUGUGUGAGACUGAGAUACUACAGUAAGGUCAACUACAGAUGCCAUAGAAACAAAUAUAGUCUGCUUUUCUUUGCCCACUGGUAUAAAUAAGAACAUGUAGAUCUGAGCAUAUUUUGGAUAUUCACAUUCUUUUAUCUCAUGCAGACUAGGAUGUACAUUAUUUUUUCUCAUAGCUGUAAACAUUUGCACUGUAAUGCUGGAAAAACUGUCAAAGUCGCGGCAGCCUGUCUUAAAGUUUCAUGCAAAGUUAUGCUUCCCUGUAACCUCUGUAUUUAUUUAUUUUUCAUCUGUAUGUACUAAAUUAAAUUUCAGCAAGGAUCCUUUGAAGUCCAUCUCAUAUAUAAAAUUUAAUGGGUGCUAGUUUCUGUCAUUAUAAGAAUGUAGCAAGUAGGCUGUUACAUUGAAACCUCCUUUUAAGCUUCCAUUACCAUAAAAGGUCAUCUUCUUUGUAUCAUAAAUAUUUGUAACUUGUGGUCAUAACUACCAGCCUCAAGUCUUGGAAUGGUACCAUCUUAAGGAUAACUAAGGUGUAAUAAACUUAAAUAAUUCAUAA